rnacentral:rRNA from 1 species
AACGAACGCUGGCGGCAGGCCUAACACAUGCAAGUCGAACGCCCCGCCAGGGGAGUGGCAGACGGGUGAGUACCACGUGGGAACCUUCCCUAUAGUACGGAAUAGCCCAGGGAAACUUGGAGUAAUACCGUAUACGCCCGAAAGGGGAAAGAAUUUCGCUAUAGGAUGGGCCCGCGUAGGAUUAGCUAGUUGGUGAGGUAAUGGCUCACCAAGGCGACGAUCCUUAGCUGGUUUGAGAGAACGACCAGCCACACUGGGACUGAGACACGGCCCAGACUCCUACGGGAGGCAGCAGUGGGGAAUAUUGGACAAUGGGCGCAAGCCUGAUCCAGCCAUGCCGCGUGAGUGAUGAAGGCCUUAGGGUUGUAAAGCUCUUUUGGCGGGGACGAUAAUGACGGUACCCGCAGAAUAAGUCCCGGCUAACUUCGUG